rnacentral:rRNA from 1 species
GAACCUUCGGGGAACGAUAACGGCGUCGAGCGGCGGACGGGUGAGUAAUGCCUAGGAAAUUGCCCUGAUGUGGGGGAUAACCAUUGGAAACGAUGGCUAAUACCGCAUAAUGCCUACGGGCCAAAGAGGGGGACCUUCGGGCCUCUCGCGUCAGGAUAUGCCUAGGUGGGAUUAGCUAGUUGGUGAGGUAAGGGCUCACCAAGGCGACGAUCCCUAGCUGGUCUGAGAGGAUGAUCAGCCACACUGGAACUGAGACACGGUCCAGACUCCUACGGGAGGCAGCAGUGGGGAAUAUUGCACAAUGGGCGCAAGCCUGAUGCAGCCAUGCCGCGUGUGUGAAGAAGGCCUUCGGGUUGUAAAGCACUUUCAGUCGUGAGGAAGGCAGUAUCGUUAAUAGCGUUAUUGUUUGACGUUAGCGACAGAAGAAGCACCGGCUAACUCCGUGCCAGCAGCCGCGGUAAUACGGAGGGUGCGAGCGUUAAUCGGAAUUACUGGGCGUAAAGCGCAUGCAGGUGGUUUGUUAAGUCAGAUGUGAAAGCCCGGGGCUCAACCUCGGAAUUGCAUUUGAAACUGGCAGACUAGAGUACUGUAGAGGGGGGUA